ensembl:misc_RNA 7SK 7SK RNA
GGAGGUGAGCGCGAUCUGGCUGCAACAUCUGUCACCCCACUGACCACCAGGGUUGAUUUGGCUGAUCUGGCUGGCUAGGCGGGCGCCCCCCUCCUCCCUCACUGCUCCACGUACGUCCCUCCUGAAGCUGCGCACUUGGUCAAGGAGGACAACCAUCCCCAAUAGAGGAGGACCGGUCUUCAGUCAAGGGUAUGCACGUAGCUGCGCUACCCUGUUAGAACUCCAAACAUGCUCUCAAAGUCCAUUUAAAGGAAUAACAAUGGCAUAGAUUCUCCCUUCUGUUUCAUCUGUACUUUUCCAGCAAGAAGAAAAGAGACCCUAC